GUGGUUGAAGUGUCUGAGGGGAAAAGGGCUGCCUGCGGGACCCCAGGCCCUGCUACCCUAAAUGCCAGGUUCAGCGUCGGGCGAAGGCUCCUUCUCCGCGCUGUAUCCGAGAGAACCCCCAAGGCGCGGCAGUGUUGGCCGUCUGGGACUAGCCUCUCGCAACAGUCACGCCCGGGUCUGAGCCCGCGGAUAUCGGAUAGAGCCCACCAAAGCGUGCUCGGCGCCUGGAGCUGCAGGACUCGUGGCCCCCACCCCGGGUUCCCGAAAGCCCCCCUAUUUGUACGCACUUUCCACGCCGACCUGAAUCGACGGGAUUUCUCUGGCUGGUGUUUGAGCUGCCUGUAUCCGAAUAAAUCCAGCUCUCAAGCGUCCGGCAGGAAACGGCUCCGGGUUUGCGCGUACGCAGACGCAUCGGCCAGCGCGGGACGCGUUGUGGCUCCUCCUGUUCCGUGCCGCGGCAGGUCCGGCCUCUGAGGGAGGCUAGCCCAGCAGCGCCUUUAGGCCGAACGGCCGCUCGCGGCCCGGCAGUGCCUGGCAGCUCCCAUCUCCGGCGGUAGUCGGCAACCGCUGGGCCAAGUCCGCCCGCGGCGAAAACUGAAAGCAAAUUCCGCGGCAGAUGAAGCCCGAACUUUCUUGGACGCAAGUUUGCAGUAGAGAUUCGGUGGCGGCUUUGGGAGGACAGCGCGCUAGUGUGUGCGCGCGCAAGGUGGGGCGGUGGGCGAAGAGAGCACCCGGCGGCCGAGCCUGGCCCGAGGCGAAACACUAGGGAAGGCGCCUUCCCUUCUUUAUUUCUCGCCAACUCCUCGGCUCCUGUCCGUAAAAAUAGUUUCCAAGGUGCCUCGGACGCCCAGAAUGUGUUUAUGGGGAUCGCACCAGAGAAAGGAAGGCUUUGUAAAAGUUGUAGAAAGAGCUUUGCGCAGCGUUCGCCCAGCGGGGUUCAAGAAAGCUUGGGACUAGCUCGCCUUCCCUGGGGAGGAAUAGCCAGAAAUUGGCCUGGGGAGCCCCCUGCCUAGUCCUGUCCCCUCACCUCCAACCCACGAGUAUAUAAGCUCUCGCUGCCUGCGCUGCAAACUUCUCGGCGCGGCGCCGCGGUCAGCGGGCGAGGACAGGACGCAGAGCGGGCCGGCAAGGCCGCUCCUCGGAGCUCUCAGCCCCAGCCCUGAGUGAGGCUUGCGCGGAGGUGAGAGGACGAGUGUGGUUCCCGCUCCCACUUGGCUGCCGAAACCGUCAUCGCCGACCUCCCAACUCCCGGAGCCGGCGCUUCCCCUGGGAGCGGCGGUCUUGGGGGGCUGGCGAGGGCGCAAAGUGCGCGUGCGAAGCGAAGCGCACGAGGGCGGGGGCGGCCGCGGGUCUCUCCGCGGGGCCUGUCGCCGAGCCGGCCGCGGCGGGUGAGUGAUGAGGGCAGAGAAGGGCGCCCAUAAAUCGUGAGUGUCAGGGCGAAAAACUCUCUUUAUUGUCUGUGUGAUGGAUGGGCCCGGGGACGAGACACCAAAUACUUCGUAUCGCCUUUAAAUGGGAACACAUUUUCCGCGGCCAUAAUUCAUGUUUUUUAAAUAGAAAGUUUGAAAUGUUGCCUAUAUUUCACCGGCCCUGACAUAUUUAUGAAUCGCUCCCUGCAUGCAAAUAUCAUUAUUUAAAGCGCCGGGGAGAGCUGGGGGAGGGGAGGAGGCGCAGCCCCCGGGGCGUGGGGGUGGUGAACCGGGGAAAUGCGGAUGGAAGGGGGGCCAUCUCCCUAAAGUGCGGACGACGAGGCGCGGGGAAGCCGUAUCCGGAAACUGAGCUCACUGGGGGCUCCCCUCCUGCCGCCGGACCCCCGCACCGCAGCUCCGGGAAGUUUGCGCGGCUUGGGGCCGAGGACAGUCCCCCGCCCCCUGCUGGGAGACCAAGGGGCAUUUUGCGUCCCUCUCCGAGGCUCUGAUCCGAGCCUAAACCGCCUUUUCCAAGAAGGAAGUAAAAAAAAAAAAGAAUUUAACAAACGCAAAUAAUAACAAUCCAACAUGUUUCGUGUUCUUUGCCGUUGCAUCGAUUUUAUUGAUUUUCAUUCUGCAAACCUCAGAGUGUGCGCGCCCGAGCGGGACGACUGUCAGACCCCAGUCACCGCGGGAGUGGGUGGGGGAUAACCCUCCGGUGCUGCAACCCAGUCCCGCCCCCACCCAACCAGCUCACCACCUCCCAGGCACAACGGAGCCUGCGCAAGACGCGGGGACACAAAUGAUCCGGCCCCCAACUCCUGGGGGCUUCAGUCCCGCCCCCUCUGCCUCCCCAGGGCACAGCAGCGCUCCUGAAGUCGGCGUCCGCCCUCCCCUAGCCCCACUGUCAAUACAAUCGCUUUAAGAAAAAGUCGGAUACGUGCCGUCAGCCUCUCCCUUGCCCGUCCAGCCUGGGAGGCACCCACACCUGCGCCCUCACUAGCCCAGUCUUUACCUGUGCCGUCCCCCUCGGCGCCUGCAGCCGCGCCGGUAACAGAGGAAUGGAAGGGAGGGGAGUGGCAGGGACAGAAAGCACUGUCCAAGACAGCCAGAAACGCAGACCCAGGACCUCCUCUUCUGACCUGGCGUUGGGACCCUGGCUGAACUCCCUCUAGUAGCCGAAUUGCGCCGGGAAGAGAGGGCCGGGGGAAGGGCGUCGGGAAGGUAACCAGCCCGCGGAGGGAGGGGCCGG
ensembl:lncRNA